CCUACGGGAGGCAGCAGUGGGGGAUAUUGCACAAUGGGGGAAACCCUGAUGCAGCGACGCCGCGUGGGCGAAGAAGUAUUUCGGUAUGUAAAGCCCUAUCAGCAGGGAAGAAGAAAUGACGGUACCUGAGUAAGAAGCACCGGCUAAAUACGUGCCAGCAGCCGCGGUAAUACGUAUGGUGCAAGCGUUAUCCGGAUUUACUGGGUGUAAAGGGAGCGCAGGCGGCACGGCAAGCCUGAUGUGAAAGCCCGGGGCCCAACCGCGGGACUGCAUUGGAGACUACCGGGCUGGAGUGCCGGAGAGGUAGGCGGAAUGCCUAGUGUAGCGGUGAAAUGCGUAGAUAUUAGGAGGAACACCAGUGGCGAAGGCGGCCUACUGGACGGUGACUGACGCUGAGGCUCGAAAGCGUGGGGAGCAAACAGGAUUAGAUACCCGUGUAGUC
rnacentral:rRNA from 1 species